UGCCAGCCGCCGCGGUAAUACGAAGGGACCUAGCGUAGUUCGGAAUUACUGGGCUUAAAGAGUUCGUAGGUGGUUGAAAAAGUUAGUGGUGAAAUCCCAGAGCUUAACUCUGGAACUGCCAUUAAAACUGUUAGUCUUGAGAUCGAGAGAGGUGAGUGGAAUUCCAAGUGUAGAGGUGAAAUUCGUAGAUAUUAGAAAGAAUACCAAUUGCGAAGGCAGCUUUCUGGAUCAUUACUGACACUGAGGAACGAAAGCAUGGGUAGCGAAGAGGAUUAGAUA
rnacentral:rRNA from 1 species